GCCUUCGCGAAUCAAAUGUCCUCAGUCCCUCACCACUCACCAACCCUAGCUUCUUCAAGAAUUCAGAACCCAAACCAAAAACCUAGCCUCUUCAACGGAUUCGACGCCGCCGCUCGUCGUUGUAGGCGCCUCUGCGGCCUCCUCCUCCCCCUGUUCCAAACCAAAUCCCUAGCUCGGCACGUCGUCGUCACGUCGUCUUCUAGCUUCGCUGUUCGAGGCUUCGAGUUCAAGAUGCUUGCCGUGGUGUCACCGUCGUUGUCUUGCUCUCAGUUGAAGUUAUUGAUUUGAAGGUUAGGGUGAUUAUUUGUUCUGAAACUGAGUCUGCUGUUUCACUGCCUGAUGGGAAAGUAAUUUCUCCCCAUCCUCCAUUGGAUUCGUCCUGCUCGUCUCCCUCUUGAUGCCAGGAAAAUCUCUUUAUACUACUGUUAGAGAGCUCGUGGAGAAUUCGCUUGACUCAGCGGAAUCGAUAUCGGAGCUUCUGGUAGUU